rnacentral:rRNA from 1 species
GAUGAACGCUGGCGGCGUGCCUAAUACAUGCAAGUCGAGCGAACAGACGAGGAGCUUGCUCCUCUGACGUUAGCGGCGGACGGGUGAGUAACACGUGGAUAACCUACCUAUAAGACUGGGAUAACUUCGGGAAACCGGAGCUAAUACCGGAUAAUAUAUUGAACCGCAUGGUUCAAUAGUGAAAGACGGUUUUGCUGUCACUUAUAGAUGGAUCCGCGCCGCAUUAGCUAGUUGGUAAGGUAACGGCUUACCAAGGCAACGAUGCGUAGCCGACCUGAGAGGGUGAUCGCCCACACUGGAACUGAGACCCGGUCCAGACUCCUACGGGAGGCAGCAGUAGGGAAUCUUCCGCAAUGGGCGAAAGCCUGACGGAGCACCGCCGCGUGAGUGAUGAAGGUCUUCGGAUCGUAAAACUCUGUUAUUAGGGAAGAACAAAUGUGUAAGUAACUAUGCACGUCUUGACGGUACCUAAUCAGAAAGCCACGGCUAACUACGUG